UACGGGGGGGGCAAGCGUUGUUCGGAAUUACUGGGCGUAAAGGGCUCGUAGGCGGCCAACUAAGUCCGACGUGAAAUCCCCAGGCUUAACCUGGGAACUGCGUCGGAUACUGGAUGGCUUGAAUCCGGGAGAGGGAUGUGGAAUUCCCGGUGUAGUGGUGAAAUGCGUAGAUAUCGGGAGGAACACCAGUGGCGAAGGCGGCUUUCUGGUCUGCUCUUGACGCUGAGGCGCGAAAGCUAGGGUAGCAAACGGG
rnacentral:rRNA from 1 species